CCUACGGGAGGCAGCAGUAGGGAAUUUUCCACAAUGGACGAAAGUCUGAUGGAGCAACGCCGCGUGAGUGAAGAAGGGUUUCGGCUCGUAAAGCUCUGUUGGUAGUGAAGAAAGAUAGAGGUAGUAACUGGCCUUUAUUUGACGGUAAUUACUUAGAAAGUCACGGCUAACUACGUGCCAGCAGCCGCGGUAAUACGUAGGUGGCAAGCGUUGUCCGGAUUUAUUGGGCGUAAAGCGAGUGCAGGCGGUGCAAUAAGUCUGAUGUGAAAGCCUUCGGCUCAACCGGAGAAUUGCAUCAGAAACUGUUGAACUGGAGUGCAGAAGAGGAGAGUGGAACUCCAUGUGUAGCGGUGGAAUGCGUAGAUAUAUGGAAGAACACCAGUGGCGAAGGCGGCUCUCUGGUCUGCAACUGACGCUGAGGCUCGAAAGCAUGGGUAGCGAACAGGAUUAGAUACCCGUGUAGUC
rnacentral:rRNA from 1 species